rnacentral:snRNA from 1 species
GUGCUCACUUUGGCAGCACAUAUAAUAAAAUUGGAAUAAUACAGAGAAAUUAGCAUGGCCCUUGCAAAAGGAUGACAUGCUAAUUUGUGAAAAGCACUUCAUAUUU